rnacentral:lncRNA from 1 species
GCAUGGCAGUGUCCAGAUUACUGCUAAUGUCUGGACCUGAUCCUUAUUGGAUCCUAACUCCCAGUAAAUGUGGCUAACAGGCUGGGCAAGGGUAUGCUAGCACUCCUACUUGUUGGGCAUGACCACCAGCUUGCCAUGGCCUUCCCUAAAUCCCCUCUAUGAACUUGCACUCUCUCUUAGAUUCUAAGUUCUGCCCCCUCCUAUGAUCCUUCUUUGGGACCUUGAAUUCCCUCUGAACUUGGACAUUUGAGGGCUGGCUCUUCCACACUGCACUUUGCUUAAUUCUUCAAUAUAUUUGGGGUGUAAGCACUGCCUGGAGUCCACCUAAGACUCUUAGGGAACUCUCACACAUCC